AUUGAACGCUGGCGGUAUGCUUAACACAUGCAAGUCGAACGGUAACAGGCCUUCGGGCGCUGACGAGUGGCGGACGGGUGAGUAACGCGUAGGAAUCUGCCUCAUAGUGGGGGACAACGUGGGGAAACUCACGCUAAUACCGCAUACGCCCUACGGGGGAAAGCGGGGGAUCUUCGGACCUCGCGCUAUGAGAUGAGCCUGCGUUAGAUUAGCUAGUUGGUAGGGUAAAGGCCUACCAAGGCGACGAUCUAUAGCUGGUCUGAGAGGACGAUCAGCCACACUGGGACUGAGACACGGCCCAGACUCCUACGGGAGGCAG
rnacentral:rRNA from 1 species